UAUUUUCGACGAGAUCAAAAG
ensembl:piRNA 21ur-4821 ncRNA